rnacentral:rRNA from 1 species
CCUACGGGUGGCAGAAGGGAGGAAGAGGGGGGAAGGGGAGCGAGCCUGAACCAGAAAAGGAGCGUGAAGGAUGAGUGCAAGACGGGGUGUAAACUUCUGUUAUAAAGGAAUAAAGUGAGGCACGUGUGCCUUUUUGUAUGUACUUUAUGAAUAAGGAUCGGCUAACUCCGUGCCAGCAGCCGCGGUAAUACGGGGGAUGCAAGCGUUAUCCGGAUUUAUUGGGUUUAAAGGGUGCGUAGGCUGUGAGGUAAGUCAGCGGUGAAAUGCCCCCGCUCAACGGGGUGAAGUGCCAUUGAUACUGCCUUGCUGGAAUGCGGAUGCCGUGGGAGGAAUGUGUGGUGUAGCGGUGAAAUGCAUAGAUAUCACACAGAACACCGAUUGCGAAGGCAUCUCACGAAUCCGCGAUUGACGCUGAUGCACGAAAGCGUGGGUAUCAAACAGGAUUAGAUACCCUAGUAGUC